rnacentral:rRNA from 1 species
CCUACGGGUGGCAGCAGUGGGGAAUAUUGGGCAAUGGGCGCAAGCCUGACCCAGCAACGCCGCGUGAAGGAAGAAGGCUUUCGGGUUGUAAACUUCUUUUCUCAGGGACGAAGCAAGUGACGGUACCUCAGGAAUAAGCCACGGCUAACUUCGCGCCAGCAGCCGCGGUAAUACGGAGGUGGCAAGAGUUAUCCGGAUUUACUGGGUGUAAAGGGCGUGUCGGCGGGACUGCAAGUCGGAUGUGAAAAGCACGGGCUCAACCUGGGGCCUGCAUUUGAAACUGUAGGUCUUGAGUACUGGAGAGGCAGACGGAAUUCCUAGUGUAGCGGUGAAAUGCGUAGAUAUUGGGAGGAACACCAGUGGCGAAGGCGGUCUGCUGGACAGCAACUGACGCUGAGGCGCGAAAGCGUGGGGAGCAAACAGGAUUAGAUACCCGAGUAGUC